GUAUCCAGAGUACCGCCGGACACGUGAAACCCGGUGGGAAUACGGGGGGACCAUCCUCCAAGCCUAAAUACUACUCGGUGACCGAUAGAGAAGAAGUACUGUGAAGGAAAGGUGAAAAGCACCCCGGAAGGGGAGUGAAAGAGAACCUGAAACCUUGUGUUUACAAGCACCGAAAGUUCAUCAACGAACGAUCGGGUACCUUUUGUAGAAUGGUCCGGCGAGUGAAUGUAACUGGCGAGGUUAAGCACUUAAGGUGUGAAGCCGUAGCGAGAGCGAGUCUGAAAAGGGCGCAUGAAGUCAGUUGUAUUCGACCCGAAACCGGGUGACCUACCCAUGUCCAGGCUGAAGUGCAGGUAAAACUUCAUGGAGGGCCGAACCGACUCCCGUUGAAAUGGUAGCGGAUGAGGUGUGGGUAGCGGAGAAAUUCCAAUCGAACCCGGAGAUAGCUGGUUCUCUCCGAAAUAGCUUUAGGGCUAGCCUUGGAAUAGAUUACUGGAGGUAAAGCACUGAAUUGGCUAGGGGCCGAGAGGUUACUGAACCUUAUCAAACUAAGAAUGCCAGAUAAUCGUUUUCCAGGAGUCAGACAGUGGGAGAUAAGUUUCAUUGUCAAAAGGGAAACAGCCCAGACCUACAGCUAAGGUCCCAAAGUAUAGUUAAGUGGAAAAGGAUGUGGAAUUGCAUAGACAACCAGGAUGUUGGCUUAGAAGCAGCCACUCAUUAAAAGAGUGCGUAAUAGCUCACUGGUCGAGUGAUUCUGCGCCGAAAAUUUAACGGGGCUAAACUAUACACCGAAGCUUAGGAUACCGCAAGGUAUGGUAGGAGAGCGUUCUGUACGGAGUGAAGUCGUAGCGAAAGCGGCGGUGGACUGUACAGAAGUGAGAAUGCCGGAAUAAGUAGCGAGAAUUAAGUGAGAAUCUUAAUGGCCGAAAGUCUAAGGUUUUUGGAGGAAGGUUCGUCCGCUCCAAGUAAGUCGGGAGCUAAGGUCAGGCCGAAAGGCGUAGCCGAUGCACAAACGGUUGAUAUUCCGUUACCGUCUACAAUUUAAACAAGGGGACACAUACAAAGCGUUUAACCCGGGCGAUGGUUGACCCGGGCGCAAGGGACUGAAAUAAGAGUAGGGAAGUAAAUGUGGCGUAUGGCGAGAAAAGCUUUGUGAAUAGAAGUAGACGCCCGUACCGCAAACCGACACAGGUGGACAGGAAGAGAAUUCUAAGGCCAGCGGGAGAAGGGUAGUUAAGGAACUCGGCAAAUUGACUCCGUAACUUCGGAAUAAGGAGUGCUCGAAAGAGCCGCAGAGAAUAGGCCCAGGCGACUGUUUAGCAAAAACACAGGUCUCUGCCAAAUCGAAAGAUGAAGUAUAGGGGCUGACACCUGCCCGGUGCCGGAAGGUUAAGAGGAGGAGUGCAAGCUCCGAAUUGAAGCCCCGGUAAACGGCGGCCGUAACUAUAACGGUCCUAAGGUAGCGAAAUUCCUUGUCGGGUAAGUUCCGACCCGCACGAAUGGUGUAACGAUCUGGGCACUGUCUCAACUACCCACCCGGCGAAAUUGUAGUACCGGUGAAGAUGCCGGUUACCUGCGGCAAGACGGAAAGACCCCAUGGAGCUUUACUGUAGCCUGAUAUUGGGUUUCGGAAAUCUAUGUACAGGAUAGGCGGGAGACUGGGAAGUAUGAGCGUCAGCUUAUACGGAGUCAUUGUUGGGAUACCGCCCUUAGGUUUCUGGAAUUCUAACCUGCGACCGUGAAUCCGGUCGGGGGACAUUGUCAGGUGGGCAGUUUGACUGGGGCGGUCGCCUCCGAAAAGGUAACGGAGGCGCUCAAAGGUUGGCUCAGCACGGACGGAAACCGUGCCUCAGAGUGUAAACGCAAAAGCCAGCCUAACUGCGAGGAUGACGGUCCGAGCAGUAACGAAAGUUGGAGUUAGUGAUCCGGCGGUAUGUGAAUGGAAAUGCCGUCGCUCAACGGAUAAAAGCUACCCUGGGGAUAACAGGCUGAUCU
rnacentral:rRNA from 1 species